UCCAGCAUUGCCUUGCCGUGUCCGGAUUUGCG
rnacentral:scRNA from 1 species